CCCAAGCGCGGCACAGCAAGGCAUGUAUGCAGCCCACGGCACCGCUGAUAAAUGAACGACAGCUACCGCGGCUUCUCUCGCUUGUGUCUUUUGAAACACCUUCAGUGUCCCCGUUUUGUGCACAAUUGUGGGAGUACAAAGACGUUUGCAGGGAAUGAGUGGGUAUGUCUGAAUGAAGCUGAUGGAUGUGUCUUGGACAGAAGAAUGUUUCUCCAGGAACUGACCCGGAUAAAGUCUUUAAUUUCCUUCGCUAGAUACAGCAUGGCGACGGCGGAGCUGCGAGGAGAUGAAAGUCCAACGGAGAGAAGAGAGAGAGUCCAGCAGAGAGAAAAUGACAGAGCGACGCAGAGGCCGUGGCUUUUCUCACAGACGAACAUUAAUAAUAUGACUGGGCCACAAUAGGAGCUCUGAGAUCAGAGAGAUCACCUCCAUUGUCCCGCCGUCUCCUACUGACAGCGACCGCUCUGGUGAGGGAAGAAUAAGAAGAAUAGAGGAGAAUAACCUGGCCGCUCACCAUGCCCUUCCCUUUACGAUACAUAAUGGCCUGUGGUCCUCUGCAGAGCCUUUAGAGAGUGUGUUAAGCGUGAUGUGGAGGUAAAGGUUUCAGCCGUGAGUUACUGUGAUCUAUGUCAGAGAAUGGUGCUUUAAUCUAUAUGCAUGUUUUAAUUUCUAUCGUCAAUUAUUGUGUAUUUAUGGAGUUCAGAGAAUAACAAGAUUGAUUUAAUUUAACUACGAUAAUGACCAGCUUGAAAUAAAAGGUUUUCACCUCUUUUUAAAAAUCCGACACCAAAAUGCAAUAAGCUACAGAAAUGUGUGGAGGGUCUUUAGUAUGUAUCCUCUAUGGGGGCUCUUGUUAAUGUGUUUAUUAACCUCUGACAGUAUAAGAGUUGUGCUGGGACUAAACAUGUUUUAAAUUGAACUGCUAAUGGUUUGGUUUUUAGAAAAUGGUAACUUUGUAACUCUGUAACUCUGAUGCUUUUUUUGUCUCGACGUGUUUGCCUGCAGCCCCUCCCUCGUGUUCCUCACCUGCUCCAGUCACCUGACCCCCACUCAACCAACCACAACUGUGUGAGGAAAUAUCAAUCACGUCUUUCUUAAGAUGUAUUGGAAAAAGUCUGUCUUUAAACAUGAUAAUAUGUAGCUGGUUCCUGCACGACAAUUCUUUGAGAGUUGAUUACCUUUUUUCAUUUAUCAUUUUUCAAGAAUAUAGAUGUGAUAAAUGUAGCGCUAUAAAAAGAAUAAUAUUUCCUUCAUAAA
ensembl:lncRNA